ensembl:lncRNA
GGUGAAAGGAAACAAAAUCUGGUUGAACAUUAACCCCAAUUUUCUUUUCCAAAAGUCUUAGUUGGGAAGAUCUGUUUGUAACACUGUACUUAGAGAUACUGCUGAAGGUCUCCAUACCAGAUGGGCACAUAACAGCCGCGGGCACAGCCUGCCAUGCUUCUCACUCCCAUGGCAGUCUCCAUCCUGCACUGCAGCAGCUAUGGAGUAAUGCAAGCAGAACACACCAAGAGGCUUUGGAAAUUUAUUCCAUCUGUUGUGUUGUGUUUUGGCUGAAGAACAGUCCAAGUCCUAUCACUCAUGGUUACGGGAUUGUGCGCUCUUACGACUCCUGCAACUAAUAGCAGGUUACAACAGUAGGAAUCCUUUCCUGGCCACUUCCCAGUGCUUGCAGCCUUUCCUAGGGACUGCAGCGAUAUGCAGAGCUGCCCUGGCCCGACAGCCUGCUGGCUUGUCUCUGGCAGCAGGACACAGCACAUGUCUACAGGAAGAGAUAACAACAUGGCAGAUGCAUGGUGUGGUCUUCGGUCUUUUGUGGUUCAAUGACUUCCUGCGCCAGAAUCUCUUUCUAUGAGGCUACAUGCUAUCAAUAUAUCCUAGUGGAUUAAACAGUUCUUACAAUCCAUGUUUGAACCCAGCACUUAGGGACCUCUCCCAUGAACACUUCACCUUCAUAGCAGACAUUACAUUAGGGAUCCUGUUGGUGACUCAGCAGCGUCUCAUGCCAAUGAACUAAGUAACAGCAAUGAAUUCAAAGCCAGUUCUAAUGCACCAAAGAAAGAGAAUGGCAGACGUUUGGAUGAGGAGUAAUAGCACUGGACUCAGGCAAAUUUUGUUUGUCUACCCAACAUCACAGCAACGGACUGUCAAGCAUCCAGUGCACAAACCAUGUGAUUAACCUGGACAGCUAGGCAAAGUGAAAAUGGGUAUUUAUGCAGCACUGGAGGACCUGUGCUGCAUACUGAGCUGCCACUAUGUCUGUCAACACUCUCCUUUCCCAAGCCUUUUUGUCUCCAUGUUAAUUAUGUCUUUCAGCACUUCCUAAAGCUUUAGUGUAUUUUUCUUGUGUUCCUCCUCCAAUCUCCCUCUCGUCCCAUGACUCCCAUCCUGCCUACUUACUGUUCAUCUCUCAGCUGUUUCUGCAACACUGUCACAUGGCUGGGCUGAGUCAGGCAACCUGGGCCUAAGGACAAACCUGAGAGGAAAACUCGUCUUUCCAAACAUCAAAUUUUCUUCAUAAUCAGAAAAUCAGCAGUCCAUACCGAUGAUCCAAAAGGCAUUACAUAAAUAUUAUAUUACACUUUCUUCUUCCUGCUAGCAUCAUCAGAAUUUUUGCUAUAAUUGGUAAGUUUAGGCAAGACUUAAUGACCAGUAUAUUCCUAACAAAGUAUAUGAAGCAUCUCCCUGAAUUUGAGUAAUUUAAGGCAGUUCACACUAUCAAGAUUCACAGCACUAAAUCAAUCUCAUCUCCAUGUGCGAUAUUUUAUGCCUCCAGGUAUCUGUAUUUCUGAAUACAAAAUGCAUUUCUGUAUGCAAACAGAUCAGGUUUAUCUGAACAGCUUGCUGCCCUUUGUCUAUCCAAAAUGUCCUUUUCAGGUGCAAUGAUGCAUUCAGAAGCUCGACUGAGUAGCACUAAAAUUUCGUGAAAAUCUAUUUAGUGUGCAUUCGUAACGGAGCAGAUUUCUCCUCAGAUCCACUACCAACUAUUUGUCAAAUGGCUAUCCUAAGGAAAACAAACUAACAUGAUCCCAGAUCAAGACUUUUUUGCAACCAGAAUGAAUUUCACAUAAACUUUUGCCUGUCACUACUUAAUCACCAUUUAUUCACAGUAACUAUGCAUCGCUAUCUUAUGGUUGCUGUCCUUUCCUACAGAGAUGGGGGGUUCAGGACAUUAGUUCAUCUGUAGAUCCUAAGAAGUUAUCUCUCCCCCAGAAUAUGCAAUGUGUAGAAAAACCCUACGGAGCUGUUCCUCCUUUAGUGUCCACCAGGCUCCCCACAGUAUCCAGGAACAAUUAUGGAAAUAAUCGUUGUUCUAAGCGAAGGACUACACGAUGAUGCGUAAAGUUUAAUAACAAAAGCUUCCCCUGCUCCAUCCGUCUUGCUGUCAGCUAGACUGUGGCAGGAAGCACAAGGGGUUAAUGUCAAAAUACAUCCCCUGAUACCCCGAUUGCCUUUCCCUACCCAUUGUUUCCCAACUUCUUUUGAAUGGUCAGAAAUUUUCCGCUUGAGUAAACCAUCAACAGAGCUGGACCAAAUGGAAAAAUGAGUAGGACAAAAAUGAACCUUGCUGGUAAUACAGAAAGGAGACCUGGUUACAGAGCCACGCAUUUCUAGUGCUAGCAUUUAUUGUGAAAAUAGUGUAAUUAAACAAUGAUUUUUUUUCCCUCUUGCAGCAAAAAAUUGUUUGAGGAUAUCAACAUUUUGUAGAGUGCCAUAAAUCUGGUAAAUCUAGCUAUGGAUAACUCAGUACUCAGAAUGGAAAAGGAAUUAACCCAACUCUUUGGAAAGCUUUAAGAAAAAAGCUUUUCAAAAUAGAGCAUCACCGUGUUUUCCUCACACUGCUCCCAUCAGCUUUCCUUCAGCCUGAUGCUUGAUUUCAGAAGUAGCCUCUCUCACCAAUACAUGAGGGCUUCCCGUUCUUCCCUUCCGUUCUGAUCACACUUAGUAUUCUCAUAUUAGUGUGGGUAGCAAAAAAAAAUACAUUCUCACAAAAAACAAGAGUAGUGCAUUUCAGUUAUGGUUUUCUAUUGAUUCAGUUACACUUGAAUUGAUCUCAAAUUGUUUCAAGCAACUGUUCUGCACCCAAAACACCGCACGAACCACAGAAACCAGAUCAAUAGAUUUCAAGUGAAAUAAUUGUUUUCCUUUGUAAGACCCCAUUACUUCUUGAAUGAAGAACUGUUUGAUUGACCUCCAGGAAAGCAGCAGAUGUGAAUAAGCCAAGCACCUCAGGCCUUAUCAUUUAAAGGGAGGCCUUGAAAAUUACAGGAAAGUACAUGGCCAUGUGCUCGGGUAGCUGUGGGAAAUACACAGCUGGAGAAGCCACAAAGCUGCAUUCUACACGAACAAAAUGAGAGCAGUAGCACGUGGCAGAAGUGGCAGAAAUACACUUUUAGUCACCACAAACACACCAAAAAAAUGUUCUACUAGAUAAGAAAAAUGUUCAAGGAUUCUUGAGUGACUGAUUUUAUUUGCACAGUGUUAGCGUUAGUGAGCUUAUUGUCUGGCACUGAUAAAUGUCAUGUAGCUGUGCCCCUGGGCUCACGUCUGUCCCAGUGUGUUCCACAACUGUAGUGCUCUGUGAGUGCGGCCCUUUCCAGGCUGCCACAUUCAGACACACAAGGUAGAGGCAGUAGCCAAGAAAAUCAGGGUGACCUCAUUGGAUCUACCGGCAGGAUGCAGAUUUAUACCAGGUCACCAAUUCACUGGGGUGCCUAAGUGCUGUCAAACAGAGUAAGACAGACUCUUCUAGAGGCUGAGAGCAGGUUGAUGGGGCUACACUGACCCUAGCACAUGAAAUGCUAAUAGCAUCCCCAGGCCACACCUGCAGCAUCGCACUGGAGCCAUCCAGCUGCAGCCCUGCCUCUGUGUGCUCAGGACCUUCCCUCACCCACCUGCAACUGCACCUUUUGCAGGGAAAGGAGAGCCCAGAGAGCAUCCCCUGUCUACAGCUGUGGGCAAAAACAGGAAGGCUUCAAGAAGCCGUGCAGGAGUGAGACAAAGCAGUGCUGAAGGCAGCGGUGCCUGAGAUUAGGGCUGCGGUGUGGAAUGGAGCAGCUGGCCAGAAGGUUAGGACACCUAGAGAGCAUCACUACUGGAAGGUGAUGCUGCAGUAACAAACAUGACAGGCUGGACCUGUCAAUCUCAGCCCCAAAUACCACACUGUCAUCAUUAUAGAGGUUGAGAUGGCACAUGGCAGCAGCAAAGUUACUGCUUAGGUAAUGCAAAUGUGGGUGUUCCCCCAGCGGGUGGCAAUAUGAUGUUACAGAAAACACAUGUGCAGCUACUCAUAAAUUGCAGUUUUCAUCAGCAGUUCUACUUGUAGAUAAUUCCUGCCCUCAGUUGAUGCUUCCCCCACAAAAAAAGUAGGAAAGCAGAAUACAGUGGUGAUAUUUUGUGGUCCUCAGACAAAUGCUGCUCUCCCUAGUAACAGUCCUCCUGGUAUUGGAAAUCUUUAUUUCUUCUAAUUAUAUUGCAAAUAAAUUAAAUGAUCGCGUUAUACCAUAGUAUGUUUUUGUAGGGAAGUCUUGGUUAGCUCUUAGCACAUAUUAGACCUGAUCUGCGCUUUACUCUUUUAUGAGCACAAUUAACUGCAAACACCUUGUCAUAAACAUUUUAAAAGGUCAACAGAUUGCAACAAUUUUGCUAAAGAGAUAAAUGGUCAAAUAAAACAUUGAAUUGUUAAUUCCCAGGUGACAAAAAGCUGCAUGAGUCAGAUCAAUAAGAAGACACAGAGUGAAUUCUGGGAUAAAGGGCGGGUCAACCUUGAAGCGUUAAUAACUCGCUCCUGUUGUUCUGCUCUGGCACAUCAUGUGUUCUAGCAGGUAAAUGAGCUGCUAAUAGCAAAGUAGUGCCCACAGACUCACAGAAGUAAAAGUGGGCGUCAGAGAUUAUUGAAAUGGGAAAAAUAAAUUAAAAAAAAAAAAAAAGAAAGAAAGGACUUAGCUCUGUUAACACCAGGAAAAACAAUGAGUUUAUAGCAGACAGGACCGUCAAACCCUCGACCCUGGUCAGUCAGUGCAGAGCUUUCAGUAACAGCAACACGCCAAGAGUUCAUUCUGCUAUUUAUGAGAGGUAUCCUGUACUUCGUAUCAAUCCACUCACUCUACAAACUGACUUCUAGCUACACGAGAGGCUGCAGUAAGAUGGUGCUGUGCUGUACAGUGCUCCUCCAUCCACUCUGCAAAGCCCCCCGGCAGCUGCCAGGAGAGGCCGCAGCUGUACAGAAGCUGAUGUAUAACCACACAAAGGCUGCACUGAAGCCAAGAUAUUUCAUAAUCUCCAUUUUAUUUCUUCGAAGCAAAACACAAGCUGAUUUCUCCAACACUGAAAGGAAAGAAAAUAGCCUCCACCCUGCUAAUGAUCCCUCAGGGGAGGCACCAUCAAGAGGCAACACUUCUUGUAGCAGAGAAAAGCCACGGCUGCUGCUGUCCCAGCAUGCAACAUCAGCCCUGAGAGUUAUCUGCAGCCCACAGACAUCAACUAAUCUCAGCGGGCACCAGAGGAGCAAGCAAGGGUUGAACCCUCAUAGUUCUGGAAGGCUUGAUGAAAGGUUCGUCUCCACAUGAAGCAGAGCAGAAGACUGUGCAAAUAGAAGUGAAGAGGAUCAACGUAGCACUUGGAAAAUAAUUGUUUCAAUUGUGGAAAAUAAUCUAAGACAAAGCCAUCAGUUUUAACAGUUCCAUACAACAGAAAGUUCGAGUAUCAUCAUAUCCCAGUCUCAGAGAUGAUCUCUCUUCCCAAAAUGAGCUGAAGCAUAUAUCCAAAUCUAAAAUUCUUUAAUACAUUGACAAUUUUUGGAACAAGCUCUGGAUAUACAGCCCGGGGAGCUCUUCUGUACAUUGCAUGAUAUGAGAAUUGUGAA